rnacentral:tRNA from 1 species
AUCUAAAUAGUUUAUUUUAAAAUUUUAAUUUGUGGAAUUAAAGAAAUAAUUAUUAGUUAUUUUAGAUA